GCCCGGUUAGCUCAAUCGGUAGAGCGUAAGACUCUUAGAAUACGGGGUUCAAGCCCCGUUUCCAUGGCAUUGGCAAUCUUAAGGCUGUGGGUUCGACCCCCACAUCGGGCU